AGGACGAACGCUGGCGGCGUGCUUAACACAUGCAAGUCGAACGGAAAGGCCCUUUCGGGGGUACUCGAGUGGCGAACGGGUGAGUAACACGUGGGUGAUCUGCCCUGCACUUCGGGAUAAGCUUGGGAAACUGGGUCUAAUACCGGAUAGGACUACGAAUCGCAUGGUUUGUGGUGGAAAGCUUUUGCGGUGUGGGAUGGGCCCGCGGCCUAUCAGCUUGUUGGUGGGGUGAUGGCCUACCAAGGCGACGACGGGUA
rnacentral:rRNA from 1 species